GUGCCAUUCAGUUCCAUUGUUUUCAUAAACGGGAAGUGAGGGCGACAUGAACCCAAACAAUAACAAAGCAAAAGAUUUUGAAUUUAUGAACCACUUGUCCUCUCCCUCUCUCUUCACCGCCGCUCCACCUAGGGCUACUCCACCUCCCAGGAUAACCAAGACGACCGCGUGUUGGUCUGGGUCCGGCCACACCGAGGUUACCCUAUACUCUGCCCUGACAACUACAUCAGGAGCAGAGACAGGAUAUCUUGUCUUACACUUGUGUCGAGUAACGGAGACCUCAUCAAAAGCAGCCAAGAGUGCGCUAAACGUAAUGCCGCGCUGGCUUUCAUCACUAGCUUUGAUGAUGUCAGCAGUUUAAGGAAUGACUUGAUGAUCCUGACAGGAUACUACGUUAAGUAAGCGCCCUUUGUUAUGUGUCACGAUAAGUGUUGUAAGUGGACGAAAGUUAAAGUCACGCUCAGUAACAACAAGUACGAGGGUUUAAGGAGUAAGUUUAUGGAGGUGCAGGUGUUGGCGGUGGACAAGGUGGUUCCUUUGCUUUUUCAUAUAUAUUUUUCUACAGAUUAUAUAAAAUACUUGCAUACACAUGAAAACUCCCAACACACACACACACACACACACACACACACACACACACACAC